rnacentral:tRNA from 1 species
CGGGCCGUAGCGCAGCCUGGUUAGCGCGCCUGACUGGGGGUCAGGAGGUCGGGAGUUCAAAUCUCCCCGGCCCGACCA